AGUGAACGCUGGCGGUAGGCCUAACACAUGCAAGUCGAACGGCAGCACAGUAAGAGCUUGCUCUUACGGGUGGCGAGUGGCGGACGGGUGAGGAAUACAUCGGAACCUACUUUUUCGUGGGGGAUAACGUAGGGAAACUUACGCUAAUACCGCAUAUGACCUACGGGUGAAAGCAGGGGAUCUUCGGACCUUGCGCGAUUGAAUGAGCCGAUGUCGGAUUAGCUAGUUGGCGGGGUAAAGGCACACCAAGGCGACGAUCCGUAGCUGGUCUGAGAGGAUGAUCAGCCACACUGGAACUGAGACACGGUCCAGACUCCUACGGGAGGCAGCAGUGGGGAAUAUUGGACAAUGGGCGCAAGCCUGAUCCAGCCAUACCGCGUGGGUGAAGAAGGCCUUCGGGUUGUAAAGCCCUUUUGUUGGGAAAGAAAAGCAGCAGGUGAAUACCCCGCUGUUCUGACGGUACCCAAAGAAUAAGCACCGGCUAACUUCGUG
rnacentral:rRNA from 1 species